rnacentral:rRNA from 1 species
GUGGGGAAUAUUGGACAAUGGGCGAAAGCCUGAUCCAGCCAUGCCGCGUGUGUGAAGAAGGUCUUCGGAUUGUAAAGCACUUUAAGUUGGGAGGAAGGGCAUUAACCUAAUACGUUAGUGUUUUGACGUUACCGACAGAAUAAGCACCGGCUAACUUCGUGCCAGCAGCCGCGGUAAUACGAAGGGUGCAAGCGUUAAUCGGAAUUACUGGGCGUAAAGCGCGUGUAGGUGGUUCGUUAAGUUGGAUGUGAAAGCCCCGGGCUCAACCUGGGAACUGCAUCCAAAACUGGCGAGCUAGAGUACGGUAGAGGGUGGUGGAAUUUCCUGUGUAGCGGUGAAAUGCGUAGAUAUAGGAAGGAACACCAGUGGCGAAGGCGACCACCUGGACUGAUACUGACACUGAGGUGCGAAAGCGUGGGGAGCAAACAGGAUUAGAAACCCGUGUAGUCC